rnacentral:rRNA from 1 species
GACGAACGCUGGCGGCGUGCUUAACACAUGCAAGUCGAACGGAAAGGCCUCUUUCGGGGGGUACUCGAGUGGCGAACGGGUGAGUAACACGUGAGUAACCUGCCCUUGACUUUGGGAUAACUUCAGGAAACUGGGGCUAAUACCGGAUAGGAGCUCCUGCUGCAUGGUGGGGGUUGGAAAGUUUCGGCGGUUGGGGAUGGACUCGCGGCUUAUCAGCUUGUUGGUGGGGUAGUGGCUUACCAAGGCUUUGACGGGUAGCCGGCCUGAGAGGGUGACCGGCCACAUUGGGACUGGGAUACGGCCCAGACUCCUACGGGGGGCAGCAGUGGGGAAUAUUGCACAAUGGGUGGAAGCCUGAUGCAGCAACGCCGGGUGCGGGAUGACGGCCUUCGGGUUGUAAACCGCUUUCGCUCAUGACGAAGCUUUGUGUGACGGUAGUGGGUAAAGAAGCACCGGCUAACUACGUG